CAGCGCAGCUUUGGGGUCCCAGCCCAGCCCAGCUUUGGGGUCCCAGCCCAGCACAUCUUUGGGGUCCCAGCCCUCACCCAGCAGCAGCUUUGAGGCAGCUAAAACAAUUUUAAUGGACAACAAGCACUGAGCCAACGGAAAACGCGGAGAGGAGCAAAUGUGGAUGAAAAGCAGAACGGAAAACCAGGGAAGAAAGAGCAAGCAGCGCCUCUUAGAGAGAGUGCAGCAAAGAGAUUGCCAAAGAGCAGUUCUGAACACAAAUUCUGGAGUUGAUUAGAAGAAACCUGGAGGUUUCUGAGAUGUUAAAACAUGAGAUACAGCAAAAUUCAACAUGCGCAAAUCAGAACGUGGUUGCCAGACACUGCUGGUUGUGGUGAGCAAAUGAUAUAAUCAGGAGAAAACAUUCCUAACAAGAAGAGAUUUCUCCAGAACUAGUAAAGACUUGACUAGAUUUCCCUGAAUAAACUAGGAAAGCAUUAUUCUUAAGAUAGUUUUAGGGAAAAAAACCCAAACAGCCUUCUAAAGAAAAUAAAUAUUUAUG